rnacentral:lncRNA from 1 species
CUACAGGCGCCCACCACCGCACCCAGCUAAUUUUUUGUAUUUUUAGUAGAGACGGGGUUUCACCGUGUUAGCCAGGAUGGUCUCAAUCUCCUGACCUCGUGAUCCGCCUGCCUUGGCCUCCCAAAGUGCUGGGAUUACAGGCAUAAGCCACCGCACCCAGCCUUUUUCUUUCUUUUUUUUUUUGAGGCAGAGUCUCACUUUGUCACCCAGGCUGGAGUGCAGUGGUGCCAUUUUGGCUCACUGCAACCUCUGCCUCCCGGAUUCAAGCAAUUUUCCUGCCUCAGCCUCCUGAGUAGCUGGGAUUACAGGCGCCCACCACCAUGCAUAGCUAAUUUUUGUAUUAUAUGUUGGCCAUUAUAUAUGUUGUAACAUAUAUGUUGUCUAUAUGUUGGCCAGGCUGGUCUCGAACUCCUGACCUCAGGUGAUCUGCCCACCUCAGCCUCCCAAAAUGCUAGAAUUACAGGCGUGAGCCACUGCACUUGGCUUCUGUCUUGUUUCAUAAGUAUCUUUGUAAUAUCCUUGAUUUUACCUCUUGGCCCUGAAAGCCAAAAACACUUAUGUGGCCCUUUAUAGAUACAGUUUGCUGCCAGCUUGCCCCUGAGCUUAGGCUAAGACACGAAGUGCCCUUCACUGGGGCCUCUGUGGUUGGACCCUCGUGCUUUUGCUCACUCUGCCCCAGACAGAUAUCCUGGGUCUUUGCACUUCCUCUUCCUGCUGCUGGGAACCAUCUUCCCUAGAUCUCCAAAGCAGGCUCCCCCUGCUCAUCUGCGUCUUGACUCAAGAAACUUCUCACAGGAGCCCUCCCUGAAUUGGUCAGGUGUCUCCCGAGAGACAGAACCAAUAGAAGAUACACAGAGAGAUAGAGAUGGGAUCUAUAGGCUGGGUGUGGUGGCACACUUCUGUAAUCCCAGCUACUUGGGAGGCUGAGGCUCAAGAAUCACUUGAACCCGGGAGGCACAAGUUGCAAUGAACUGAGAUUGUGC